UACGUAGGGCGCAAGCGUUGUCCGGAAUUAUUGGGCGUAAAGAGCUCGUAGGUGGCGUGUCGCGUCUGCCGUGAAAGCCCAUGGCUUAACUGUGGGUCUGCGGUGGAUACGGGCAGGCUGGAGGCUGGUAGGGGCAAGCGGAAUUCCUGGUGUAGCGGUGAAAUGCGCAGAUAUCAGGAGGAACACCGGUGGCGAAGGCGGCUUGCUGGGCCAGUUCUGACGCUGAGGAGCGAAAGCGUGGGGAGCGAACAGG
rnacentral:rRNA from 1 species